rnacentral:ncRNA from 1 species
UUCCUUCGGGGUCGGGUGAAAUUCCCAAUCGACGGUGAUGAGUAAAUCUCUAAGCCCGUGAGCCACUUUUGUGUGCAGGAUUUGGUGCGAGUCCAAAGCCGACAGUAUAGUCUGGAUGGGAGAAGGA